rfam:Homo sapiens chromosome 17, GRCh38 reference primary assembly.
GCCAGGCAUGGUGGGCAUGCCUGUAGUCCCAGCUACCGGGGAGGCUGAGGCAGGAGAAUUGCUUGAACCUGGGAGGCGGAGGUUGCAGUGAGCUGAGAUUGCACCAGCCACUGUACUCUAGCCUGGGUGACAAAGUGAGAGUCUGUCUCAA